rnacentral:tRNA from 2 species
AGGGUUUUAGGACCGUUGGUGAGGAGCGCUCUGCCUUCGGGAGGCAGGGGCUGGAGGUUCAAAUCCUCUCACCCCGACCA